rnacentral:tRNA from 1 species
AGCCCCGUAGUGUAGCGGCUAAGCAUUCUGGCCUCUGGAGCCGGAGACAGGAGUUCGAAUCUCCUCGGGGCUA